UCGCUUCUACUUCAUAGAAAGCAUCAAUUAAUACCUUAAAACAUUAACCUUUGUUUUACAUUUUUCUCCAAAGAAAAUGUGUUAUUUAGAAAACAAACAUUGUUGCCUUGUGAUCAGGGUUAUUUUUUUUCAAAUGAGCCAACACAACGGAAUAAAAUAUACGAUCUGAGUGGCUGAGGCUGACUCACUUCCUGUUUCAAUAACAAAAAUGUCAUCAGCUAGACUCCAACCAGCACAGUUUGUCACUGUGUUUGUGGCUUUAUUUGUACUUGUUGCCAAAGGUUCUUAGGGAAAAUACACUCAUCAUUUUCAUACCAGAAAGGAGACUCUCAGUGAGCAGAUUUGGCUACGGCUGUUGCCUUGUAUAUUAUUUAUGUUAUAACCAAUGCUUUCUUAAUGCAGCGAGAAUGCUUGUCUGGCUGCAUAAAACUACUGGGAAUUCACAGUUCACUCAUGUCACCAAAGUGCUAACACCAGUGGUGGUUUUCCAAAGAGUGAGCAGUAUGUUCAAGUGGCAAGGUAAAACAUCACAGCUGAGAAUCAAAGGCCUAAAUGUUUGCCUGCCUUAUCUAAGAGACUAUUGGAUCUUGGACUUUCAUUUAACAUCUACAGAUGAUAGUAUUGAAUAAGAUGAUCUCUAUGUUUUCUUCUAAUAAAAAAUUCCAAGAUUCUUUUCCUAGAAUCAUGAAACUCAGUUGGCAUUCUUUGCUUGGUCAGUGUAUAAUGUUCCCUGAAUUUAGAACUUGAUCCUCUAUCGAUUCACUGGUCUGAUUUUAAAUGAUUCAUCUGCAUGAGUCAUUGCCACAUGACUCCAGGAUUGGAUGGCUAUCUACUGCAUUGGUACUACCUUUUUUUGCAAAUUGCAGUAGCUCAGCUGCUAAAGAUUCCAGACUGUGCGUGCCCCUGGUCACAUCAGCUGCAAGACCGCAUUCAGGGCUUGCAAGACACACCUGGAGGGCUUGGGAAGAAGAGGAUCCAGGUAUCUAAUUGGACUCCCUAAAUGCCAUUCCAGGCUGUCUUUGAGGUUUACGUGGUUUAGGACAGAUUCUCAGGAGACAGAGAGGCAUUUUAGGAAUCCUCCAGAUCUUACCUGAGGAAAGCCACUCUGGUGACUCAUCAGGUGUGACAUUCCCCUUAGAGUCAGAAUGAAACAACAUCCUAUUCAAGAGAAGAGGGACUUUCCUGCAGCUGAUGGGGAAACUUAGACAAAAUCCAAGUCAUUCUUUUGCCCAGUUUUAGAAAUCUCCAUGCCUGUAUGGAAGCAUAUGGAUCUUAAUGAUUUCUCUUUCAAAAUCCUCGUAGAGAAUGACAUUCUGGCCAUGUUUCUCCCUCAAAUGUGUCUUAAAAAUUCAUCAGAGUCUAACUAUAAAGGCACCACCCAGUUGUAAUAAUUAGCAUCUUAUUUGCAUUCAGUUUGAUUCCAAGUUCUACAUAAGUGUCUAAUCUGGUGAUAUGCAUUGUGUAAUUGCUAAGUAAAUAUUUGCCAUCCGUUACAAAGAAUGAAUAAAAUGGGCACGGCUGUUUUCCUGUCCUUGUAACCCAGGGUUUUAUUCUUCAUGAGUAGUGUGUGACUAUAGUCAAAUCAGUGGCAACCAUAACCAUCAGCCUUGCAUCAUGGUAUUAUGUUCCUGUGACUCUCUUAUUGAUAACUGGGCAUCCACUUUGGACUCAGUUACAAAAACAUUAUGGAAGACUAUGCUGCUAUGUACCUACCAAAAAUGAUGGGGAUGCCCUGUUUUCUAUAAAGCUUGACAUUCCUGAGGAAGGGGGUUGCAGCUAUUGAAAAAAAAUACCAUCCUCAGGAAAUGAGUCCGCAACCUUGUCCAUGGCCAUGGACAAUCAGGCACAACCUGGGGAUACUGAAAAGUGUUUGAACCAAUGCCAGGGUUUCAACCAAUUCAAGAGUGACUUGGUCCCUCCCUAGCAGUCAGAAGCAAUUUGGGUCUAUAGGUCCCAUGGAUAACAGGAAAUAUCCAAAGUCUACUCCUGCAUUGCUUUGGUUUACCAAGAGUUUAUGGGUUGAGUAUCAACUGGUGCUGGUCAUUUCCAGUUUUGCCCAAAAGAAACCAACAGUUCAAUCAUGUAAUAGUCUCUAGCUCCUCCUUCCCCUUUAGGCCUUCUCCCUGACAGUCUGUUCUUUGCUCCCAGAAAUAGUCCUCCUACCAUAGAUUGAUUGAUGACUGCAGGCUACUUUCACUUCCCAUUUUAAGAUUUUAAAAUUCCCCAGUCUAGAUUCUCACUUUAGAAUCUUUGCUGUAAGCUUCUGAUCCUCAAAUCCUUCUAGAGCCUUAACCCCAUUACUCUGAGAUCACCUGUAAAUACAAACUGCAGUGUAUCCUUCCCAGUCUGGAACAGACUAGCUGUUCCUAGACACAGCUCCACUUCUUCCCUUUUGUGUAUUUCUUGCAAGGACUGUGCCCCCACUGCCUUUGCCGACUGAGGCCUUUUCCUCACCCCAGAGCCCUACCAUGCCUCUCCCAGCUACCUCUUUCCAGCCGUCCCCUAUCUGAUAGACCUCUUCCCCCUUGGCCUGUUAGCAGCACCUGAGUCUGUACUGUUUGAGAAUGAUCUUGUGAUCUCUAUUUUGAGCUGCACAAUUGUCUUUGGAUAUGGGUCCCCAACAUAACUGUUUCCCUGCAGCCCAGUUCACUCAUGGAUCCAUGGCUUGGCAGAGAGAGCUCUCAGGCUGAGUGACCAUGGACCAGCCUGCGUCUCUGUACCUCAGUUUCCUCCUCUGUAGGAGGAGAACACCAAAACUGACCUCAUGGAAACCUUGUGAGGAGAGAAGGAGAAGAUGAACGUAAAGGACCUGGUAGGAGUUGACAUACGACAGAAACUCAGGAAUCACCUCCUACUGACACCUGAAGAUCACAAGAGCAAUUGGCUCAUUAGCUUUCCCAGGGAAGGCAUUUCUGCUCCAUGUACUAUUAUUGGUAUCUCUGAUUUGGGGUUCUGAACUUGUGUGCUUCACAGGGGCUUCAAGUCCCCUGUGUCACUCAAUAGUGACAAACCAAAAUAAAAGAUCUUGGCAAAUGAUUAGCAGCCAUUCCUGCUGCUGUGGUCAUAAACCCUGUUGCUAUUUUAGGGCCAGUAUUGUUCAAGCUGGAUUUAGUUUUCCUUUGCUGUCUAUUUUGGCGUUGACUUGCUCUAAAAGGGCAGGCUGCACAUGGUGUGUCAAGCCAGUGGCUUGUCUGUGGUCUUUGUCCAAGUUUACUCAGUGAGGAGAUCAGCAAUGGGAAAAAUAAAAGAACCUGAAAAAAAAAAUCACCUUUCAUUCAGUCUUUUUUAAAAUAUAUUUUUAAACAAAGAGAUGUCUUAGAAAGUGUUUUGCUUCUACUUGUAAAGCCAG
rnacentral:lncRNA from 1 species